UACGUAGGGCGCAAGCGUUGUCCGGAAUUAUUGGGCGUAAAGAGCUCGUAGGUGGCUUGUCGCGUCUGCCGUGAAAGCCCAUGGCUUAACUAUGGGUCUGCGGUGGAUACGGGCAGGCUAGAGGCUGGUAGGGGCAAGCGGAAUUCCUGGUGUAGCGGUGAAAUGCGCAGAUAUCAGGAGGAACACCGGUGGCGAAGGCGGCUUGCUGGGCCAGUUCUGACGCUGAGGUGCGAAAGCUAGGGGAGCAAACAGG
rnacentral:rRNA from 1 species